CACAGGAGGCUGAGGCAGGUGGAUCGCCAGGAGUUCCAAGGCCAGCCUGAUCUACAGACCUGACACUUCCUCCUCCCGAAAGUCCUAUCCCUGGCCAGGACCAGAAAGCACUCUAUUCAUCUGGCUCCUGAAUCCUGAUCCAGGAAGAAGGGGAAGCUGGGACUAUGCAGAAGAAGAGACCAAAUCCACAGUGACAUGGAUCCCAUGGGAGAGCCCGGCUUGUGCUAUCCCUCACCAGGAUUUCUCUGUGUAGCCCUGAAACUUGCUCGGUAGACCAGGCUGACCUCAAACUCACAGAGAUCCACAGGCCUCUGCUGGAAUUGAAGCUCUGGGCCACCGCUGCCACCAAAUCUUUUCCUUAAACGGCCCAGAGCUCAGCCUGUGGCCUCGGUGGGAACAAAGUAAAAUCUUGCAAUGAAGGCAGUCACAAUGCUGAGACUCCUACAUGUCACCAUCUACAUGGGUAAGAUUCCUACUAUGUCACUCACUAUGUCACUCGCAGAUAAUGUGGCCUUGGGCUAGUCAUUUCUGUGCCUGUGUUUUCUCAGUGGUGAAAUGAAGCUGACUAUGGUCCCUCUGAGGCCAGUGCAAUGGCUCAGUGAGUAAAGGUGCUGGCCAGGGCCUGGCAAUCUGAGAUCAAGCUGCGGGACCCACAGGGCAAAAGGAGAGAACGGAUUCCCACAAGUUGUCCUCUGACCUCUGUAUGUGUGUCCUGGCAUGUACAAACACAUGUGCGGACUUGCACGUGCACACACAAGAUACACACACACACACACACACACACUCACACUCACAAAUAAAAAAAGUUCAAUUCUUCUGCAGAGAGAGGUGUGAGGAAGAGCUGAGUCAGCACAGACAGGAUGCUUCUCUGGAGUGCUGGCAUGCGUGUAGAUCCUACAGCACCUAGCACCCUCAGUCUGGCCUCCUCGACUCUGGACUGCUGUAGACAAUCGCCAUGGGAUUGGUGGUGCGGAUGGAGAAUGGUCAGUGUUUACCAACAGGUGAUCAGGGCGGGAGGAUCGGUUGACACCUCUCUUGCAGAGCUGGGGGAGUCUCUCAGGACGAGUUUGUUCUCGUGAUGCUUAGUUCUGUUCUUGUGGACCUGGAUUCGUUUCCUUAAAAGCAGGUUCUCAUGAGUUGUGCCUGAUCCUUGGGUUUCUCCUCUUCCCCGUGCCUGCCCUUCCAAUUCUCUGUAAGCACAAGGCCAAGGUGGCUUCCUAGAAGCCAAGUGGAUGCCCACACCAGGCACUUGGACUUCAAGCCGCCACUGUUGAAAGCCAAAUGCUCUU
rnacentral:lncRNA from 1 species